rnacentral:rRNA from 1 species
GAUGAACGCUAGCGGCAGGCCUAAUACAUGCAAGUCGGGCGGCAAGCGGUGUAGCGAUACACUGCCUAGAGCGGCGGACGGGUGCGCAACGCGUAUGCAACCUGGCCCCUACCGGGGGAUAGCCCGCGGAAACGCGGAUUAACACCCCAUGGCGCGUGGAGGCCGCAUGGUUUUUACGCUAAAGGUUACGGUAGGGGAUGGGCAUGCGUGGGAUUAGCUGGUUGGAGGGGUAACGGCCCACCAAGGCGACGAUCCCUAGGGGUUCUGGGAGGAAGGUCACCCACACUGGCCCUGAGAUACGGGCCAGACUCCUACGGGAGGCAGCAGUAGGGAAUAUUGGGCAAUGGGCGGAAGCCUGACCCAGCCAUGCCGCGUGCGGGAAGAAGGCCCUUUGGGUCGUAAACCGCUUUUCCGGGGGAAGAAAAGGCCCGUGCGCGGGACAUUGCCGGUACCCCGGGAAUAAGCACCGGCUAACUCCGUGCCAGCCGCCGCCGUAAGAC